rnacentral:rRNA from 1 species
UACGAAGGGGGCUAGCGUUGCUCGGAAUCACUGGGCGUAAAGCGCACGUAGGCGGAUCUUUAAGUCAGGGGUGAAAUCCUGGAGCUCAACUCCAGAACUGCCUUUGAUACUGGGGAUCUCGAGUCCGGAAGAGGUGAGUGGAACUCCGAGUGUAGAGGUGAAAUUCGUAGAUAUUCGGAAGAACACCAGUGGCGAAGGCGGCUCACUGGUCCGGUACUGACGCUGAGGCACGAAAGCGUGGGGAUCAAACAGG